GGGUUGCUAACUCAAUGGUAAAGUACUCGGCUUCUAACCGACGAGUUUCGGGUUCGAGCCCCGGGCAACCCA
rnacentral:tRNA from 1 species